rnacentral:rRNA from 1 species
UACAGAGGUGCCAAGCGUUAGGCGGAAUCACUGGGCUUAAAGCGCGUGUAGGCGGGUCGUUAAGUGUCUUGUGAAAUCCCACGGCUCAGCCGUGGAACUGCUGGGCAUACUGACGAUCUUGAGGCACUCAGGGGCUGUCGGAACAAAUGGUGGAGCGGUGAAAUGCGUAGAUAUCAUUUGGAACGCCAACGGUGAAAACAGACAGCUGGGGGUGUCCUGACGCUGAGACGCGAAAGCCAGGGGAGCGAACGGG